UACGAAGGGUGCAAGCGUUACUCGGAAUUACUGGGCGUAAAGGGUGCGUAGGUGGUUCUUUAAGUCUGCUGUGAAAGCCCCGGGCUCAACCUGGGAAUGGCAGUGGAUACUGGAGAGCUAGAGUGCGGUAGAGGGUAGUGGAAUUCCCGGUGUAGCAGUGAAAUGCGUAGAGAUCGGGAGGAACACCAGUGGCGAAGGCGGUCUUCUGGAGCACUCUUGACGCUGAGGCGCGAAAGCUGGGGGAGCGAACGGG
rnacentral:rRNA from 1 species